UACGUAGGUGACAAGCGUUAUUCGGAAUUAUUGGGCGUAAAGGGCAUGUAGGCGGUUUGAUAAGUGUGAAUUGAAAGACCGGAGCUUAACUCCGCGUUUGGUUUGCAAACUGUCAAGCUAGAGUGCAGAAGGGGAAACUGGAAUUCCACGUGUAGGGGUGAAAUCUGUAGAUAUGUGGAAGAAUACUUGUGGCGAAGGCGAGUUUCUGGUCUGUAACUGACGCUGAAAUGCGAAAGUGCGGGGAG
rnacentral:rRNA from 1 species